rnacentral:rRNA from 1 species
UACAGAGGUCUCAAGCGUUGUUCGGAAUCACUGGGCGUAAAGGGUGCGUAGGCCGCGCUGUAAGUCAGAUGUGAAAUCCCGGAGCUCAACUUCGGAAUUGCCUCCGAUACUGCCGUGCUUGAGGACUGGAGAGGAGUCUGGAAUUCACAGUGGAGCAGUGAAAAUGCGUAGAUAUUUGUGAGGAACACUAGUGGCGAAGGCGAGACUCUGGACAGUUCCUGACGCUGAGGCACGAAGGCCAGGGGGAGCAAAACGGG